rnacentral:rRNA from 1 species
UCGCCUACGGGAGGCAGCAGUGGGGAAUUUUGGACAAUGGGCGCAAGCCUGAUCCAGCUAUUCCGCGUGUGGGAUGAAGGCCCUCGGGUUGUAAACCACUUUUGUAGAGAACGAAAAGACACCUUCGAAUAAAGGGUGUUGCUGACGGUACUCUAAGAAUAAGCACCGGCUAACUACGUACCAGCAGCCGCGGUAAUACGUAGGGUGCGAGCGUUAAUCGGAAUUACUGGGCGUAAAGGGUGCGCAGGCGGAAGAUCAAGUCAGCGGUAAAAUUGAGAGGCUCAACCUCUUCGAGCCGUUGAAAC